rnacentral:rRNA from 1 species
UACAGAGGGUGCGAGCGUUAAUCGGAAUUACUGGGCGUAAAGCGCGCGUAGGCGGUUUGUUAAGUCGGAUGUGAAAUCCCUGGGCUCAACCUAGGAACUGCACUCGAUACUGGCAGACUGGAGUAUGGUAGAGGGGAGUGGAAUUUCCGGUGUAGCGGUGAAAUGCGUAGAUAUCGGAAGGAACACCAGUGGCGAAGGCGGCUCCCUGGGCCAAUACUGACGCUGAGGCGCGAAAGCGUGGGGAGUAAACAGG